rnacentral:miRNA from 1 species
GUUUUUCUCGCCGGGUGAGAAGGC